rnacentral:rRNA from 1 species
UACGUAGGGGGCGAGUGUUGUCCGGAAUCAUUGGGCGUAAAGCGCGUGUAGGCGGCCCGGUAAGUCCGCUGUGAAAGUCCAGGGCUCAACCCUGGGAUGCCGGUGGAUACUGUCGGGCUCGAGUCCGGAAGAGGCGAGUGGAAUUCCUGGUGUAGCGGUGAAAUGCGCAGAUAUCAGGAGGAACACCAAUGGCGAAGGCAGCUCGCUGGGACGUGACUGACGCUGAGACGCGAAAGCGUGGGGAGCAAACAGG